AUGAGAAAUACCCAUGGGUCUAAGUCGAACGGCCUUCUAAAAACCCUUGACAAAAGAGCCCGUACACUAUCCCAAAAGGGUUCAUAUCCACAUAUGUGUAUAAGUACCUUUAGACUUGCACUGUUACCACCACACAUCUGUAGUAAUUUUCCCCAUUCUACACAGCUUUACAGGAGUAGUGUACUACCUCAUCACCGUUUUGACUGCUUGCUCACACAGACGGAUACGUUUCUCAUUGUUUCACAAAUAUCCUGCAAUAUCACUCUUUCUUACUCCCCCCUCCUCACAAUUCUUUCUCCAAUUGUUUAACACAGGUCAGUUACCAAUAGUAUCAAUAUUUCUGCAUAUUUAAUAGGUUUAUGUCUUUGUACAAUGCUCGGAGAUCACUCCUUCAUACUCAUUUUUGCUUUUAGUUUGAAUAAGUUGCAACAUUAAAG